rnacentral:rRNA from 1 species
UACGUAGGGUGCAAGCGUUAAUCGGAAUUACUGGGCGUAAAGCGUGCGCAGGCGGUUUUGUAAGUUUGUCGUGAAAUCCCCGGGCUCAACCUGGGAAUGGCGAUGAAGACUGCAAGGCUAGAAUCUGGCAGAGGGGGGUAGAAUUCCACGGUGUAGCAGUGAAAUGCGUAGAGAUGUGGAGGAACACCGAUGGCGAAGGCAGCCCCCUGGGUCAAGAUUGACGCUCAUGCACGAAAGCGUGGGGAGCAAACAGG